rnacentral:rRNA from 1 species
GAAGAAGGCCUUCGGGUUGUAAAGCACUUUCAGUUGUGAGGAAAGGUUGGUAGUUAAUACCUGCCAGCUGUGACGUUAACAACAGAAGAAGCACCGGCUAACUCCGUGCCAGCAGCCGCGGUAAUACGGAGGGUGCGAGCGUUAAUCGGAAUUACUGGGCGUAAAGCGCACGCAGGCGGUUUGUUAAGCUAGAUGUGAAAGCCCCGGGCUCAACCUGGGAUGGUCAUUUAGAACUGGCAGACUAGAGUCUUGGAGAGGGGAGUGGAAUUCCAGGUGUAGCGGUGAAAUGCGUAGAUAUCUGGAGGAACAUCAGUGGCGAAGGCGACUCCCUGGCCAAAGACUGACGCUCAUGUGCGAAAGUGUGGGUAGCGAACAGGAUUAGAUACCCUGGUAGUCCACACCGUAAACGCUGUCUACUAGCUGUGUGUGCCUUUAAGGCGUGCGUAGCGAAGCUAACGCGCUAAGUAGACCGCCUGGGGAGUACGGCCGCAAGGUUAAAACUCAAAGAAUUUUGACGGAA